AAAACGACUCUCGGCAACGGAUAUCUCGGCUCUCGCAUCGAUGAAGAACGUAGCGAAAUGCGAUACUUGGUGUGAAUUGCAGAAUCCCGUGAACCAUCGAGUUUUUGAACGCAAGUUGCGCCCAAAGCCAUUAGGCUAAGGGCACGUCUGCCUGGGCGUCACGCAUCAYGUCGCCC
rnacentral:rRNA from 1 species